rnacentral:rRNA from 1 species
AGUGAACGCUGGCGGUAGGCCUAACACAUGCAAGUCGAACGGCAGCACAGUAAGAGCUUGCUCUUACGGGUGGCGAGUGGCGGACGGGUGAGGAAUACAUCGGAAUCUACUUUUUCGUGGGGGAUAACGUAGGGAAACUUACGCUAAUACCGCAUACGACCUACGGGUGAAAGCAGGGGAUCUUCGGACCUUGCGCGAUUGAAUGAGCCGAUGUCGGAUUAGCUAGUUGGCGGGGUAAAGGCCCACCAAGGCGACGAUCCGUAGCUGGUCUGAGAGGAUGAUGAGACAGAGUGGAAGAGAGAUAGGGUCGAGACUAAGACGGGAGGCAGCAGUGGGGAAUAUGGGAGGAUGGGCGGAAGCUUGAACAACCCUUACGGCGGGAAAGAAAAGGGCCUUCGGAUUGUAACGCCCUUGUGUUGGGAAAGAAAAACAGCAGGCUAAUGCACCGCUGGCCUGACGGUACCCAAAGAAUAAGCAAAGGCCACCUUCGUG